rnacentral:rRNA from 1 species
UACGGAGGGUGCGAGCGUUGUCCGGAAUCAUUGGGCGUAAAGGGCGCGUAGGUGGCGUGGUAAGUCUGUGGUGAAAGCGCGGGGCUCAACCCCGGCGUCGGCCGUGGAUACUGCUAUGCUAGAGCACUGUAGAGGCAGGCGGAAUUCCGGGUGUAGCGGUGGAAUGCGUAGAGAUCCGGAAGAACACCAGGGGCGGAAGGCGGCCUGGCUGGGCAGUUGCUGA